rnacentral:rRNA from 1 species
GACGAACGCUGACGGCGUGCUUAACACAUGCAAGUCGAACGAUGAUGCUGGAGCUUGCUCCAGUUGAUUAGUGGCGAACGGGUGAGUAACACGUGAGCAAUCUGCCCUUGACUCUGGGAUAACUGCGGGAAACUGUAGCUAAUACCGGAUACUUUCACCGGAAGGCAUCUUUUGGUGAUGAAAGAAUUUCGGUCAGGGAUGAGCUCGCGGCCUAUCAGCUUGUUGGUGAGGUAACGGCUCACCAAGGCGACGACGGGUAACCGGCCUGAGAGGGUGACCGGUCACACUGGGACUGAGACACGGCCCAGACUCCUACGGGAGGCAGCAGUGGGGAAUAUUGCACAAUGGGCGCAAGCCUGAUGCAGCAACGCCGCGUGAGGGAUGAAGGCCUUCGGGUUGUAAACCUCUUUCAGCACCGACGAAGCGCAAGUGACGGUAGGUGCAGAAGAAGGACCGGCCAACUACGUGCCAGCAGCCGCAGUAA